GGUUAAGUUAGAAAGGGCGCACGGUGGAUGCCUUGACACUAGGAGUCGAUGAAGGACGGGACUAACGCCGAUAUGCUUCGGGGAGCUGUAAGUAAGCUUUGAUCCGAAGAUUUCCGAAUGGGGAAACCCACCAUACGUAAUGGUAUGGUAUCCUUAUCUGAAUACAUAGGGUAAGGAAGACAGACCCAGGGAACUGAAACAUCUAAGUACCUGGAGGAAGAGAAAGCAAAUGCGAUUUCCUGAGUAGCGGCGAGCGAAACGGAACAUAGCCCAAACCAAGAGGCUUGCCUCUUGGGGUUGUAGGACAUUCUAUACGGAGUUACAAAGGAACGAGGUAGACGAAGCGACCUGGAAAGGUCCGUCGUAGAGGGUAACAACCCCGUAGUCGAAACUUCGUUCUCUCUUGAAUGUAUCCUGAGUACGGCGGAACACGUGAAAUUCCGUCGGAAUCUGGGAGGACCAUCUCCCAAGGCUAAAUACUCCCUAGUGAUCGAUAGUGAACCAGUACCGUGAGGGAAAGGUGAAAAGCACCCCGGAAGGGGAGUGAAAGAGAUCCUGAAACCGUGUGCCUACAAAUAGUCAGAGCCCGUUAACGGGUGAUGGCGUGCCUUUUGUAGAAUGAACCGGCGAGUUACGAUCCCGUGCGAGGUUAAGCUGAAGAGGCGGAGCCGCAGCGAAAGCGAGUCUGAAUAGGGCGUUUAGUACGUGGUCGUAGACCCGAAACCAGGUGAUCUACCCAUGUCCAGGGUGAAGUUCAGGUAACACUGAAUGGAGGCCCGAACCCACGCACGUUGAAAAGUGCGGGGAUGAGGUGUGGGUAGCGGAGAAAUUCCAAUCGAACCUGGAGAUAGCUGGUUCUCCCCGAAAUAGCUUUAGGGCUAGCCUUAAGUGUAAGAGUCUUGGAGGUAGAGCACUGAUUGGACUAGGGGUCCUCAUCGGAUUACCGAAUUCAGUCAAACUCCGAAUGCCAAUGACUUAUCCUUAGGAGUCAGACUGCGAGUGAUAAGAUCCGUAGUCAAAAGGGAAACAGCCCAGACCGCCAGCUAAGGUCCCAAAGUGUGUAUUAAGUGGAAAAGGAUGUGGAGUUGCUUAGACAACUAGGAUGUUGGCUUAGAAGCAGCCACCAUUUAAAGAGUGCGUAAUAGCUCACUAGUCGAGUGACUCUGCGCCGAAAAUGUACCGGGGCUAAAUACACCACCGAAGCUGCGGAUUGAUACCGAAUGGUAUCAGUGGUAGGGGAGCGUUCUAAGGACAGUGAAGUCAGACCGGAAGGACUGGUGGAGUGCUUAGAAGUGAGAAUGCCGGUAUGAGUAGCGAAAGACGGGUGAGAAUCCCGUCCACCGAAUGCCUAAGGUUUCCUGAGGAAGGCUCGUCCGCUCAGGGUUAGUCAGGACCUAAGCCGAGGCCGACAGGCGUAGGCGAUGGACAACAGGUUGAUAUUCCUGUACCACCUCUUUAUCGUUUGAGCAAUGGAGGGACGCAGAAGGAUAGAAGAAGCGUGCGAUUGGUUGUGCACGUCCAAGCAGUUAGGCUGAUAAGUAGGCAAAUCCGCUUAUCGUGAAGGCUGAGCUGUGAUGGGGAAGCUCCUUAUGGAGCGAAGUCUUUGAUUCCCCGCUGCCAAGAAAAGCUUCUAGCGAGAUAAAAGGUGCCUGUACCGCAAACCGACACAGGUAGGCGAGGAGAGAAUCCUAAGGUGUGCGAGAGAACUCUGGUUAAGGAACUCGGCAAAAUGACCCCGUAACUUCGGGAGAAGGGGUGCUUUCUUAACGGAAAGCCGCAGUGAAUAGGCCCAAGCGACUGUUUAGCAAAAACACAGCUCUCUGCGAAGCCGUAAGGCGAAGUAUAGGGGGUGACACCU
rnacentral:rRNA from 1 species